CCUACGGGCGGCAGCAGUGAGGAAUAUUGGUCAAUGGGCGAGAGCCUGAACCAGCCAAGUCGCGUGAGGGAGUACUGCCCUAUGGGUUGUAAACCUCUUUUGUCGGGGAGCAAAAGCCGGACGUGUCCGGCUGUGAGAGUACCCGAAGAAAAAGCAUCGGCUAACUCCGUGCCAGCAGCCGCGGUAAUACGGAGGAUGCGAGCGUUAUCCGGAUUUAUUGGGUUUAAAGGGUGCGCAGGCGGAUUUUUAAGUCAGCGGUAAAAUCGUGGGGCUCAACCCCAUCCAGCCGUUGAAACUGGGGAUCUAGAGUGUGCGAGAGGUAUGCGGAAUUCGUGGUGUAGCGGUGAAAUGCAUAGAUAUCACGCAGAACCCCGAUUGCGAAGGCAGCAUACCGGUGCACAACUGACGCUCAGGCACGAAAGCGUGGGUAUCGAACAGGAUUAGAUACCCGGGUAGUC
rnacentral:rRNA from 1 species